AGCGAGGCUAGAGUCACGCCUUGGCACUCCCCCGUUGUCCUGGUGUGCUAGAGUGCUCGCAGAGUAAAAGUCUUUUAUUAUUCGUUGGCUGUUGGUUUUAUGGUGACCCAGCCAAUCACAAACUCAAGACACAU